CCGCAGUCUCAAGCUGCCUGCUUCCCUGGGCUCAGUUAACAACAAUGCAGGGAUGGCAGGAGAGGGCAACCUGUACGCAGAACAGGCACCCAAAUCUCUUUCUGAACAAUGCCUCCAGAUCAGCUUUUGAAAACUCACCUGCAAAUUGACAUGACUGUUUACCUGUUUGAAUUUGGCUGGCAGGUGGGAGUUUGCUGUUCCCUGGCAAGAAGGCUCCAGCAAGUCCAGAGGCCUAGCUGCUUGUCGUGACUCUGCUCCCCCUGGUACCCAAAGGGAGUCUCUUCACCUACUGGGCUUGGAGCUUCUCGUCAGCAAAGUGUGUGUAUGAGACUAGUUCACCUUCAAGAAUGCACAGCACAGGUGGACAAUCAUGGACAUUCCAAAUUGAGACCCACAAGGGUUUAUGACUACAUUGUCAAUGAGUGAUGAGCCUGCUGGAAAUAAUAGGACUGAUUCAGGACCAGUGAAAGAAGAUACACAAACCCAAGACGUGCAUUUUCAGAAGGAACGCUUAUGUCACUCAACAAACAUUUGUUGAGUUUUCACUAGGUGUUAGGUGCUGUGCUAGUUAGAGAUGCUGACCCUACCCAAGACAAUGAAGAUCUCAUUUUCUCAGUCCAAUUGAUGAAAAGUUAAACAUCAGCUCUAGAAAUCAAGACUGAGAAGAUGAGUUCAUGUAACUGUCCCUAGAUGAAUUCUUAUCUUCUUGGUCAGUAAGGCAGGGUCCUUGAAGCUAAAAGAUACAUUUUUUUUUUUUUUGAGAUGGAGUGUCACUAUUGUUGCCCAGGCUGGAGUGCAGUGGCGCGAUCUUGGCUCACUGCAAUCUCUGCUUCCCAGGUUCAAGCGAUUCUCCUGCCUCAGCCUCCUAAGUAGCUGGAAUUACAGGUGUCCGCCACCACGCCUGGCUAAUUUUGUAUUUUUAGUAAAGACAGGUUUCAUCAUGUUGGCCAGGCUGGUCUCGAACUCCUGACCUCAAGUGAUUCACCUGCGUCGGCCUCCCAAGUGCUGAGAUUACAGGUGUGAGCCACUGCUCCUGGCCCUAAAAGAAACACUUUUGAAAACAUUAAAUAGAACAGCACAGCACAUAGAAGAAAGGUGUGGAAGAUAUUCGAGGGAUAAUAACUUGCAGUGAUCUCAUCUCAAUGAUGCCCACACAUCAGUGACCACCUUUCAGCUCCACUACCUUUGGAUUAUGUACACGAGAAGAAGUCAGCACAGCAGUGAUUUGAAGUGUCUUCCUCUAACAUACAGAAUGUUUUUUCUUUGCCUCAAAAUCAUCUAAGAGCUGAGGUCAUCUACCACCUGUGGGGCUUGAAAUACCAAAAUGAAAAAACUUCCCCAGGAAUGAGCACCAAACAAAAUUUGCUGGGUAGCAGAAAGGUAAUGAUCUCUGAUAAGGAAAAGCACUAACAGGGAACUGGGUCUCCACACUUCGUAAACUGCCCAAGAAGUCUUCCAUCCUCCCUUGCUUUCCCACUGGGUGAAUUCCUCAGAAGAAGCAACUUCAGAAUGUCACUGCUUGCUGUCUGAGCUGUGCCACAAUGCCUCUGAAUUAGCCUGAGAAGCCUUGGUCAGGAAAAGCAAAGAAAUCAGAAUUGCAGGAUAAGGCUUCUCCCAAAAGACUCUCAAGAAGUGUCCUUUCUAUCUGUACAGAUCAGAGUGUUUGGACACUGUGCAGAAGUCUCAUGAAAAAACAUGUAACUUUAUCCUGAAGACAUCUCAGCUUCCCUUUUUAUGUGGAUGAUCAAGGGUGUCUGCAAGUCUGGGAAAAAGGGAUAGAGGAGAAUUAACAGCCAAUACUCCAGGGCCUGGCUUACUGAUAGGGAAAUGGCUGUGAUGACAGAGGAAUCUGGGGAGGCAGGAGGAGCUUGACAGAAACAAAUGGAUGUCCCAAAUAGG
rnacentral:lncRNA from 1 species